UACAGAGGGUGCAAGCGUUGUUCGGAAUCAUUGGGCGUAAAGGGCGUGUAGGCGGUUUGUUAAGUCCUGUGUGAAAUCCCCCGGCUCAACUGGGGAACUGCACAGGAAACUAGCGGGCUUGAGUUCGGGAGAGGGAAGCGGAAUUCCGGGUGUAGCGGUGAAAUGCGUAGAUAUCCGGAGGAACACCGGUGGCGAAGGCAGCUUCCUGGACCGACACUGACGCUGAGGCGCGAAAGCUAGGGGAGCAAACGGG
rnacentral:rRNA from 1 species